GUCGGACAAGAAUGUGAUGGUGGGAUGGAGAGGACCAUGGAAGGUCCAGCAGGGAUGGUCCUUCUUGUUCCCCGAAUCAUUCCCUAUAAGGGGCCCUGCAGGAUUUGAAGAGGAGUGACGAAAUAAAAUCCUUGAAAACCUAACUCUGGCUUAUGGUGGAAAAUCUGGAAAGGAGGAGAAGUUGCUUUGGGAAACAGACUCAUACUACUCCACUGCUUGUUCAUCAGGAUGAAAGUAAGCUGUGGCCUCUGUUUAGUAGGAAGGACUCUGAAGUCCUGGGGGAAAAUAGAAAAAGAGACAGAAGACAAGAUCAAGAAAGCAGAAGCCAGAAAUCUGUUUAUGCAAAACAGACGGGGGCAUUUUUCCUUAGACUUUUCAGAGGAGUGGCUGGUGAACCCGUAUUUAAGGUGAGUACAAAGAAUCCUGACUGGAUAACAUGCAAAUGAUCUAUUAAAAUCUUAAAACUCAAAAGGGAAUGAGAGAAUAGAAUACGAACAAUAAAUCUUGACUUUUUCUGCUCCAAUCUAGGGUUCCGCACAGCCUUCGGUGAGAACAGAAUGUAUCAAGUCCAGAUUGAGUCAAGGCUUGAAAGCAGUGGGUUUCGCUGGACAAAUCUGGGGCCGUGAUUGCCAGCAUCAGGAGCAUGCAAAACAUCCUUCCCUCCCUGGCUGUGUGACCAUACCAUUUUGGACUCACAAGUGUUACUGUCAGGGGGCAGAGUGGAGACCUCGGGGCUUGGGGGCCAGGUGAAAGAGCUGAAGCUCAGAGAGGGAACAGGACUCUUUCAAGGUCAUACUGGUAAGUGAGGGGCCCGAUUCAUAACCACUAACACUUAUGAGAUGCUGAGAUAUAGCAGCAUUCUACAUGCCUUGUCU
rnacentral:lncRNA from 1 species